rnacentral:piRNA from 2 species
UCCUCUAGCUUAUUUGGUGUCUCCAG